rnacentral:rRNA from 1 species
CCUACGGGGGGCUGCAGUGGGGAAUAUUGGACAAUUGGGGCAACCCUGAUCCAGCCAUGCCGCGUGUGUGAAGAAGGCCCUCGGGUUGUAAAGCACUUUCAGUGAGGAAGAACGCCUGGUGGUUAAUACCCAUCAGGAAAGACAUCACUCACAGAAGAAGCACCGGCUAACUCCGUGCCAGCAGCCGCGGUAAUACGGAGGGUGCGAGCGUUAAUCGGAAUUACUGGGCGUAAAGCGCGCGUAGGUGGCUUGAUAAGCCGGUUGUGAAAGCCCCGGGCUCAACCUGGGAACGGCAUCCGGAACUGUCAAGCUAGAGUGCAGGAGAGGAAGGUAGAAUUCCCGGUGUAGCGGUGAAAUGCGUAGAGAUCGGGAGGAAUACCAGUGGCGAAGGCGGCCUUCUGGACUGACACUGACACUGAGGUGCGAAAGCGUGGGUAGCAAACAGGAUUAGAUACCCGUGUAGUC